rnacentral:rRNA from 1 species
GAUGAACGCUGGCGGCGUGCUUAACACAUGCAAGUCGAACGAAGCACUUUAUUUGAUUUCCUUCGGGACUGAUUAUUUUGUGACUGAGUGGCGGACGGGUGAGUAACGCGUGGGUAACCUGCCUUGUACAGGGGGAUAACAGUUGGAAACGGCUGCUAAUACCGCAUAAGCGCACGGCAUCGCAUGAUGCAGUGUGAAAAACUCCGGUGGUAUAAGAUGGACCCGCGUUGGAUUAGCUAGUUGGUGAGGUAACGGCCCACCAAGGCGACGAUCCAUAGCCGACCUGAGAGGGUGACCGGCCACAUUGGGACUGAGACACGGCCCAAACUCCUACGGGAGGCAGCAGUGGGGAAUAUUGAACAAUGGGCGAAAGCCUGAUGCAGCGACGCCGCGUGAGCGAAGAAGUAUUUCGGUAUGUAAAGCUCUAUCAGCAGGGAAGAUAAUGACGGUACCUGACUAAGAAGCACCGGCUAAAUACGUG